rnacentral:rRNA from 1 species
GUGAGGAAUAUUGGGCAAUGGGCGCAAGCCUGACCCAGCAACGCCGCGUGAAGGAAGACGGUCUUCGGAUUGUAAACUUCUUUUGUCAGGGACGAAUAAUGACGGUACCUGGCGAAUAAGCCACGGCUAACUACGUGCCAGCAGCCGCGGUAAUACGUAGGUGGCAAGCGUUGUCCGGAUUUACUGGGUGUAAAGGGCGAGUAGGCGGAUUUGCAAGUCAGGUGUGAAAGCCCGGGGCUUAACCCCGGGUCUGCAUUUGAAACUGCGGAUCUUGAGUAUCGGAGAGGCAGGCGGAAUUCCCGGUGUAGCGGUGGAAUGCGUAGAUAUCGGGAGGAACACCAGUGGCGAAGGCGGCCUGCUGGACGACAACUGACGCUGAGGAGCGAAAGCGUGGGGAGCAAACAGGAUUAGAAACCCCAGUAGUCC